rnacentral:tRNA from 1 species
GCCGGUGUGGCUCCAUGGAUAGAGCGUCAGUCUGUGGACUGAAGGGUCCCGGGUUCGAUUCCGGCCAAGGGCA